UAUUUGACAGUUUUCAAAAUUAACAAAAAAAAACCAAAAGUGAAAAGUGAAACGCUACAAAAAGAAGUAACAAAAGCCACAGCUCGUAGUCGUAGCUGCAGUUGCAGUUAUGGAUGCCAACUAAAUGCAGCCAGUAAAGGGCCAACAAGACUCCCAACAAUCCAACGUGGGCAGCACCUAGCUGCAGCAAACCAAAGGAGCAGCUCUGCCGCCCCUCGCUGGCGGCUAAGCAGGCAGUCGUGGAACUCCUGGACGGGUCGCGCGGGUGACCCUCUACUAUGAGGUGGAGUUCAGUCGCAAGUAGCUGGGGAGGAAACGUUCGCAGGCUGUCGGGGAGCGUGGAAUGUUUGGGCCAUGCGAGAGUGCCGGUAUUGAGUUUCAUGCCACUCCGGGGCGAGCCCACACUACAGAUCCCCAGGCGCAGAAGUGAGGGUAGCCGUCUCUUAUGGCAGUCCAUUGCAGUACGAAGUGGAAGUCAAGGAGGACUCGCACUCGAAGAUCGGCCUUGGGCCCCUUCGCAACUCGUGCGGGUCUGAGCCCGGGUUCUUGCCUUCGCGGCAUUCAGUCUUCCUGAAGGGCCUCGCAAUCUCCCAUUGCUGCCAGGUGGAACAGUAUUGGGACAAAUACAAGGAACACGGAUCUACGUAAAUAGAUCUCGCACUGCUCUGCCCCCUCGAUGGACUAGCGACUGUUGCUUGGAGCACUCGAUGGGGCAACGGUCUGCACCCACAAGCAGAACUUCGGAUAUCUUGCUAUCAGAUGGAGCGACGAUCCAGGAGAAGAGCCUCGUGGGGGAAGACGGGAAGACAGGGGCCGCAGUGCGAAGGGGCUUGAGUUCGUAGGACUCGACUGUCGUCACUUCUCCGACUUGAGAUCUGUGGUUGAGUUUCUCCACGGAGUGGCGCGAAGCUCCUGCCCCGACAAUCCCAUCGCCCGCCCAAAUACGCUGCUCCCAACUCCUCGACAUCCCGCUGACGUUUCAUCCUCAACUACUCCGAUCGAAUUCCAUCGCAUAGAAGUGGCUCACUCGCGUCUGAGCAGGGUUCCUCGGAUGACUGCUUCAAGGCUGGGAAGUGCUGGAAAGUGGCUGCAGAGUUGCUCCUUUGGGCUGUUGCUGCUGCCCCCCCUCCACGUUGCCCACAGUGGUCUUAGGAAUCUUUCUGAUCCUGAAUUGGCUGCGAUUGGUUAGCCUCCAUAAGCGUGGACUCGCCUAAGCCUGUGGGCUUUUGUUGCUUCAAAUACAAAUGCAAUCAAAAAUAAAAUGUGAAUACGUUUAAUCAGGUAUAUUUAUGCAGCUUUUUGGACCACCAAAGAAUAGCGUGGCGUAGGAUACUGUUGGGCCUGUUCCUGUGCCUGGGUUGCUGCUGCAUCAUCGCCAUCCUUCAUCUUGUUGAGGUUUUUUGCCUGUGAAAAAUUCACUAGAGAUUAUUGGAAUGAUUUCUAACGGGUCAGAGACUGACAC